rnacentral:pre_miRNA from 1 species
UGGGCCUGACAUCAGCCUGCUUGGGACUUUUGUGUUAUGACAUCCCAAGUAUGAUGAUGUCAAGCCCA